CCCCACUCAGCCCCUUGGCCCUGCCAGCCCUUUGAAGCUCAUGCAGCGCUUCCUGUUUGGGGCGGGCGAUGCCAGGGCCCCUCCCCCACCAUUGUUCUGGAGAGACCAUAGGUCCAUCUGUUGCCCCAUGGUGGGGCCCCUAGGCAGUGCCACACGGGAGCAGCACCACAAAGGACGCUGCUGGCAGCUUUGCUUAUGUGGGGCCAGGACCUAAACCGUUCACAACUCCCAGCAGGCCAGAGCUGCAGAGACCUCAGAUAGAGACUAUAAAGUGCUGUGGAAGCCUUGUUCAAAUAAAAACAUUCAUGAAUGUCCAGUACUUGAAAUUGUGACGGGGGUCUUGCUAGGUUGCCAAGGCUGGUCUUGAACUCCUGACUUCAAGCAGUCCUCCCACCUCAGCCUCCUAGGGUGUCCGGAUUACAGGCAUGAGCCACUGUGCCCGGCCCCCUAUCACGAUAUCCAUAAGAUGCCAGGAUGCCCAGGAACCGAGUUUGAAAGACAUUGUGCUGCUGAUCCCACCUCCUGACUUUACAGCUGCUGAAUUGCAGAAGACAAAUUGGUAGCUAACAGGAGGCUCCAUCCUGGAUCCUGCCCCUGUCCGUGAGAUUCAGCCUUGAUUAACUGUGUUCCCAUGCUGGUCGUGAGCAGGGCACCAUCCUAGGUCCUUCUUUAUACUCAUUUUCCAUCUCCAGCCAAAAUGGGUUGAACCGAGGAACAAGGACAUAAUCUGUAAAGAGCAAGUGCAAGUCUCUGCUCUGCCAUUACCAGCAUCAGGCUAAUCAAGCCCUUGGAAACUCAAUUUCUUCUCCUGUAAAAUGUGAAUAACUGUUACAGACCUGGAAAGGCUCUUGUGAGGC
rnacentral:lncRNA from 10 species